rnacentral:rRNA from 1 species
GACGAUCUGUAGCGGGUCUGAGAGGAUGAUCCGCCACACUGGAACUGAGACACGGUCCAGACUCCUACGGGAGGCAGCAGAGGGGAAUUUUGGACAAUGGGGGCAACCCUGAUCCAGCCAUGCCGCGUGAGUGAAGAAGGCCUUCGGGUUGCAAAGCUCUUUCGGCCGGGAAGAAAUCGCAUGGGCCAAUACCCUGUGUGGAUGACGGUACCGGAAUAAGAAGCACCGGCUAACUACGUGCCAGCAGCCGCGGUAAUACGUAGGGUGCGAGCGUUAAUCGGAAUUACUGGGCGUAAAGCGUGCGCAGGCGGUUUUGUAAGACAGGCGUGAAAUCCCCGGGCUUAACCUGGGAACUGCGUUUGUGACUGCAAGGCUAGAGUACGGCAGAGGGGGGUGGAAUUCCACGUGUAGCAGUGAAAUGCGUAGAGAUGUGGAGGAACACCAAUGGCGAAGGCAGCCCCCUGGGUCGAUACUGACGCUCAUGCACGAAAGCGUGGGUAGCAAACAGGAUUAGAUACCCUGGUAGUCCACGCCCUAAACUAUGUCAACUAGGUGCUGGGUGGGUAAAACCAUUUAGUACCGUAGCUAACGCGUGAAGUUGACCGCCUGGGGAGUACGGCCGCAAGGUUAAAACUCAAAGGAAUUGACGGGGACCCGCACAAGCGGUGGAUGAUGUGGAUUAAUUCGAUGCAACGCGAAAAACCUUACCUACCCUUGACAUGCCAGGAACUUGCCAGAGAUGGCUUGGUGCCCGAAAGGGAGCCUGGACACAGGUGCUGCAUGGCUGUCGUCAGCUCGUGUCGUGAGAUGUUGGGUUAAGUCCCGCAACGAGCGCAACCCUUGUCGUUAAUUGCCAUCAUUUAGUUGGGCACUUUAACGAGACUGCCGGUGACAAACCGGAGGAAGGUGGGGAUGACGUCAAGUCCUCAUGGCCCUUAUGGGUAGGGCUUCACACGUCAUACAAUGGUCGGUACAAAGGGUUGCCAAGCCGCGAGGCGGAGCCAAUCCCAGAAAGCCGAUCGUAGUCCGGAUUGCAGGCUGCAACUCGCCUGCAUGAAGUCGGAAUCGCUAGUAAUCGUGGAUCAGCAUGUCACGGUGAAUACGUUCCCGGGUCUUGUACACACCGCCCGUCACACCAAGGGAGCGGGUUCCGCCAGAAGUAGGUAGCCUAACCGCAAGGGGGGCGCUUACCACGGCGGGGUUCGUGACUGGGGUGAAGUCGUAACAAGGUA